rnacentral:tRNA from 1 species
GAGGGUAUAGCUCAGUGGUAGAGCGCGUGCUUAGCAUGCACAAGGUCCUGGAUUCAAUCCCCAGUACCUUCA